GAUGAACGCUGGCGGCGUGCCUAAUACAUGCAAGUCGAGCGAACAGACGAGGAGCUUGCUCCUUUGACGUUAGCGGCGGACGGGUGAGUAACACGUGGAUAACCUACCUAUAAGACUGGGAUAACUUCGGGAAACCGGAGCUAAUACCGGAUAACAUGUUGAACCGCAUGGUUCAACAGUGAAAGACGGUCUUGCUGUCACUUAUAGAUGGAUCCGCGCCGCAUUAGCUAGUUGGUAAGGUAACGGCUUACCAAGGCAACGAUGCGUAGCCGACCUGAGAGGGUGAUCGGCCACACUGGAACUGAGACACGGUCCAGACUCCUACGGGAGGCAGCAGUAGGGAAUCUUCCGCAAUGGGCGAAAGCCUGACGGAGCAACGCCGCGUGAGUGAAGAAGGUCUUCGGAUCGUAAAACUCUGUUAUUAGGGAAGAACAAAUGUGUAAGUAACUACGCACGUCUUGACGGUACCUAAUCAGAAAGCCACGGCUAACUACGUG
rnacentral:rRNA from 1 species